UGACUUUCAUAACCUGCGAAUGAGGCCAACCGGCUUCUCCAACUUCGGAGCAGACACCAGCAUCUUCCCCAAAGUCAAAACAGGGGUCCCGAGUCAGACCUCUAAUCCCUACGCAAACCACCGAAGCAUGCCUCGCCCUGACUACUAGGGAGGAUUGGGCUGGUGAGAAGUGGCUCUAGAGAGGACUGACAAAGGACUGAGGUACAGGGAAGGAAGAGGAGAAGGAGCCAGGGAAGAGAAUGAUAAGAAUUUGGAACCUUCCCUAGCCCAGCUCACAUGGUGAUCUUAAGGACAAGGAGAAAUGGACAGAGACAAAGGUUUGACCUCCAGCGUUCCUCUGCUCCGUUUGCUUCAACCUGUGUGAAGAACGCAGCUUGCUGAAGAUACAACUAUCAAAUUAA
rnacentral:lncRNA from 1 species